rnacentral:rRNA from 1 species
UCCCAGCAGUCCAAGUCGCAACCACGUUUAUUGGGUCUAAAACAUCCGUAGCUUGCCGUGUAAGUCUUUUGUGAAAUCCUGCCUCUUAAGGGUAGAAUGGCGAGAGAUACUGCACGGCUAGAGACCGGGAGAUGUAAAGAGUACAGUAGGGGUACCGGUAAAAUGGGUUGAUCCUUACUGGACUAACAAUAGCGAAGGCACUUUACAAGAACGGAUCUGACAGUGAGGGAUGAAGGCUAGGGGCGCAAAG